CAGAGAUGCUUUGGUGCCUUCGGGAACUCUGAGACAGGUGCUGCAUGGCUGUCGUCAGCUCGUGUUGUGAAAUGUUGGGUUAAGUCCCGCAAGGAGCGCAACCCUUAUCCUUUGUUGCCAGCGAUUCGGUCGGGAACUCAAAGGAGACUGCCGGUGAUAAACCGGAGGAAGGUGGGGAUGACGUCAAGUCAUCAUGGCCCUUACGGCCAGGGCUACACACGUGCUACAAUGGCGCAUACAAAGAGAAGCGACCUCGCGAGAGCAAGCGGACCUCAUAAAGUGCGUCGUAGUCCGGAUUGGAGUCUGCAACUCGACUCCAUGAAGUCGGAAUCGCUAGUAAUCGUAGAUCAGAAUGCUACGGUGAAUACGUUCCCGGGCCUUGUACACACCGCCCGUCACACCAUGGGAGUGGGUUGCAAAAGAAGUAGGUAGCUUAACCUUCGGGAGGGCGCUUACCACUUUGUGAUUCAUGACUGGGGUGAAGUCGUAACAAGGUAAGCGUAGUGCU
rnacentral:rRNA from 1 species